CCACAACGACUCUCGGCAACGGAUAUCUCGGCUCUCGCAUCGAUGAAAGAGCAGCGAAAUGCGAUACUUGGUGUGAAUUGCAGAAUCCCGUGAACCAUCGAGUCUUGAACGCAAGUUGCGCCUGAAGCCAUUAGGCCGAAGGCACGUCUGCCUGGGCGUCA
rnacentral:rRNA from 1 species